ACUACGUGACCCAAGCUGCAGCCAAGGUCUAAAAAGUCAAGAACGCAACACAAGUUUGAAGACAAAAAAAUGUUUUUCUACCCAAGCUACGGAUGAGUAGCUGUGUCUAAGCGGGUGAAUUCAAGCUGGACCCCCUUAGCAUCCAAUCCCAGCGAAUCGUGGAAUCUAAAAGGUUUCAUUCUUAUGCUGUGAGCUCUGAGCUACAGAGCUGUCUGUCCUCAGAAGACCCCUUCCAUAGCAAGGGUGAGGGAACAGACUCCUAAGCCAAAAGGACACUGACAUCGUGAGGAUGACUAGAAAGGCGCGCCGGAGAAGUGCAAUCAUCGAGCAGCCUGAACAGUCCACAUGGAGGAUCUACAGAUAACUUCCCCACGAGCGACCUGACUCAGUCAUAAGCAAUUCCUAGAGCAGAGGACAUAUGAGCCAGCCAUUGGUGUGGUACGAACUCAUUGGUGAGACCCGAGUCCAUGCAGAUUCCCGGACUCUACAAUGUUCAGAACGAGAUGGUAGAGGAGGAGGACCUGAGCCCUAGGACCAUGCCCCAGGACUACCUGGGAUUAUGACUCCUUGCUG